rnacentral:lncRNA from 1 species
UUGUAGACCAGACUAGCCUGGAAUUUGUAGCAAUUCUCCUGCCUCAGGAGGAGAUCUAGUACUGUGAUUCAGGUGUAAUCUCCUACUCCUAGCUUGCUAUGCUCUCUUGAUUGAAUAUGCAAUUGUCAGAUAUGCAAAAAUAAGGAUGGGCUUGGAGUUGAGGUCCAAUUUAGGGAAUAUGAACUUAUACAAGUACUGGUUUCUAUGUUUAGUUCUGUGUGUUUUGGGCAAGUUCAGAAGAAACUUCACACAUGAUUUCAUUUCUUAAAAACAAUUUAAGAUGUACUGCUAGUGAGCUCGUACAUCUGAGGGCUUCUAUGAGGAGCGAAGUGAAAUUUUGUCACACUAGAUGUCAUAGUUAAACAAGUUGCGUAUUUUUUUAAAAUCAGAAGUCAAAUGUGAUUUUAACACGAUUUAUUUUCUUUAAAGAGUAGUGUUCUUAUGUGCCUAGCGUCUAUCAGGCCCUGGGCUAUUAAUUCCUGUCACCAUAGUAAAUAUACAAAGGUUUUGCUCCUGGUAUUGGUUUUAUCAUGUUGCCCAGGUCUGAAUGGGGUGGGGGUGGGGGGUUGUUGAUGUAUACUGCCAUGGCUGGCUUCAGUUUUCGUAUUGUCCAUCCUUGUAGCAUUUCUCCGGAAACUACCGCCUUACUCUCGUAUUAAUUUCUCAGUUAGGCCUUUGGAACAGGCAUUCAUUUGACACACCAUGCUGGUGGUCUAAACGGUCCACUUUCUUCUCUGUGUGAUUAUUGCAUGUAGUAUUGGCCUAAGGGAAGCCCUUAUGUUCCAGGUGCCCACCAUGUUUGUUUCGCCCUAGAGUGCCCAUUCUCAGAAACAUUUAAUGAUUAUAUUUCAAAAUGUGUGCAUGCUGGCAAGUGAUUUCGGAAACACAGUUGAAACAUGGUUGCCUUCUUGAAAGGUAGCUUGUGAUUUCUUGGUCUCUUGCCUACCCUUGAGAAAUGGCUUUUACCUUUUUGUUUGUCUAUAUAGAAACCUACCCUGGUGUUUAUUCUGUUGAGACCUGUCAGGUUUUUGUUAAUUUUUGAAGUCAUCCUUUGGAUCAGUAGGUGUUAAUGUGUACCAGUUUGUGCUUAACAUGUUUGUUAACAUCAUGUGGAACGAAAGUGCUCCAAACUUCAGUAGGAAUCUUAAAGAUCUUGCCCUUUAAAGGAUUUUAAAGGGUUCAGAUGUGUGACCAUGCAAAAUAAUUACAUGGACAUGACCUAUUUUAAUGGUAGAAUGUUCCUUUCCUCACGUUUUGUUUUGACUGUUUGGAGGAGUUGUUUUACUUUUUGCAAGUUCAUUCACUGACAACUGUUACCAUUGUUCAAGCUACAGCAAGAUGUGUGGCUCUUUUAAAACUUCCUGUGUAUGAAAAUUUUAUAUACCCUCUAUUAAGAUAUGACCUUAAAGUGGAGAUGUGAUUUGAUUUGGGUCUGAUUCCAGUUUUACCUUGAACGGAAUUUUUUUCUGAGAAAAUUUGUUUUUUUUUAAAAUAAAAAGCCCUGAAGGACAGAGCCCUAAAUAAAACACCCUUGCCGAGUUAAGCUUUGUGGUGCCGGGUAUAGAAGAGUUUGUCUGCUGGAGUAAUAGGACUCUGUGGGGAAGAGAAGUUCGUGCUGGACCAGAAAGACUGUGACCUUUGCCUCGCAUUUCCCUAAUUUCAUUCCAUGCCCCUGCUGAUGUCAUCGGUCGCCUGAGCAACCCCAAGCCACGCCCACCUAGAUAGGAACCAAUCACGUGGGUGCAGAACCUUAAGAUUUUUAACAUUUAGUUUGUAAAUGCUUUCACUGAUAUUUUUAGCUUGAAUAAAGCUAUAAUUAUUUAGUAGUUCUCCCUCAAUUUCAAGUUUACCAGCGUGAAGCAAAAGUGUCCUGGAGAUGUGCUUGUUUAAAGCUAGCCGCACCGGCUGCCCGUGCUGCCACGUGUAGUGGCUUUAGCAUUGAUGUUUGGAUCGGUUUGAUUUCCUUUUUUCUUCUCUCUGUCCUGCUGCCUCCAGAAGACGUGGUUUUGAAAAGUGUUUAGUAGUGGUGCGUGCGUGCGUGCGUGCGUGCGUGCGUGCGUGCAAGAGAGAGAGAGAGAGAGAGAGAGAGAGAGAGAGAGAGAGAGAGAGAGAGAGAGAGAGAGAGAGAGAAAUGUUGCUCUAAACCUGGCUGCAUAAGCAACAGUCCAUGAACUCUGCUGACAUUU